AUGGAGUCACGGGAUUUGUCUCAUGCGGAGAGAGAACUGAGAAAAGAGUUAAAGCACAAGCUUUUGGGGCUGUGCUCGCUGGAGCGGUCGAUUGCAAGGCAGCGUUCUCGUCUGCUGCAGCUGUGCGAGGGAGAUGGCAACACAAGGUUGUUUCAUCAGCAGGCUAGUCAUAGACAGCGGAAGAAUGUGUUGCGAGCAGUCCGGUACAAUGGGCAGAUCUAUUCGGGUCAGGAGGAAGUGGCAUCGGCAGUUGAUGCUUUCUACGGCAGAGCUUUUGGGUCCUGUGAGCAGCGACAACAUACGAUUAACUUGGAUGGGCUCAACCUGCCACAACGAGAUAUGGCACAUCUGGAGGAGUCGUUCACAGUAGAGGAAGUAGAAAGGGUGAUUAAGGCAAUGCCUAUGGACAAGGCGCCGGGGCCGGACGGCUUUACAGGGAGGUUCUAUGCCACAUGCUGGGAUAUCAUUAAAGUGGAGUUCAUGAGAGCUAUGGAUUGCAUGCAUCGGGAGGAUAUGAGAGAAAUGGUGGCAAUCAAUAGAUCACUAGUAUCUCUUCUACCCAAGAAAGAGGGAGCCAUAGACGUGGGCGACUUUCGACCAAUAAACCUUGUCCAUGGGGCAAUAAAAAUCUUCGAGAAGGUUCUCUCUGUUGGGGAACGUUGUAGAAAAUAA
rnacentral:rRNA from 1 species